rnacentral:rRNA from 1 species
UACGUAGGGUCCGAGCGUUGUCCGGAAUUACUGGGCGUAAAGGGCUCGUAGGUGGCCAACUAAGUCAGACGUGAAAUCCCUCAGCUUAACUGGGGAACUGCGUCUGAUACUGGAUGGCUUGAGUUUGGGAGAGGGAUGCGGAAUUCCAGGUGUAGCGGUGAAAUGCGUAGAUAUCUGGAGGAACACCGGUGGCGAAGGCGGCAUCCUGGACCAACACUGACACUGAUGAGCGAAAGCCAGGGGAGCAAACGGG